rnacentral:rRNA from 1 species
CACGGGGGUUGCGAGCGUUGUCCGGAAUUACUAGGCGUAAAGUGCAGGUAGGCGGAUAAAUAAGUUUAAGGUUAAAGGCUACGGCUUACCCGUAGUAAGGCGUUAGAUACUGUUUAUCUGGAAUGCGGUUGAGGGAGACAGAAUUCCUGGUGUAGCGGUGGAAUGCGCAGAGAUCAGGAGGAAUACCGAAGGCGAAGGCAGUCUUCUAAGCCGAUAUUGACGCUAAACUGCGAAGGUGUGGGGAUCAAACAGG